rnacentral:rRNA from 1 species
UGGUGGAGUGAUUUGUCUGGUUAAUUCCGUUAACAACGAGACCUCAGCCUACUAAUUAGAUGACCUAAUGUUUCAUUGGGCGCAUCUUCUUAGAGGGACUAUCGGUUUCCAACCGAGGGAAGUAUGAGGCAAUAACA